rnacentral:rRNA from 1 species
AUAGUCUAGCGGCGGACGGGUGAGUAACACGUGGGCAACCUACCUUAUAGUUUGGGAUAACUCCGGGAAACCGGGGCUAAUACCGAAUAAUCUAUUUUACUUCAUGGUGAAAUACUGAAAGACGGUUUCGGCUGUCGCUAUAAGAUGGGCCCGCGGCGCAUUAGCUAGUUGGUGAGGUAACGGCUUUAGUCUCACCAAGGCGACGAUGCGUAGCCGACCAAGGGUGAUCGGAUUAGUCCCACACUGGGACUGAGACACGGCCCAGACUCCUACGGGAGGCAGCAGUAGGGAAUCUUCCACAAUGGGCGAAAGCCUGAUGGAGCAACGCCGCGUGAGUGAAGAAUAUUAGUCGGUUUUCGGAUCGUAAAACUUGUAAGGGAAGAACAAGUACAGUUAUCGUGUUAGUAACUGGCAGUAUUAGUCUGUACCUUGACGGUACCUUAUUAGAAAGCCACGGCUAACUACGUGCCAGCAGCCGCGGUAAUACGUAGGUGGCAAGCGUUGUCCGGAAUUAUUGGGCGUAAAGCGCGCGCAGGCGGUCCUUUAAGUCUGAUGUGAAAGCCCACGGCUCAACCGUGGAGGGUCAUUGGAAACUGGGGGACUUGAGUGCAGAAGAGGAAAGUGGAAUUCCAAUGUACGAAGUGUGGAUCGUAGCGGUGAAAUGCGUAGAGAUUUGGAGGAACACCAGUGGCGAAGGCGACUUUCUGGUCUGUAACUGACGCUGAGGCGCGAAAGCGUGGGGAGCAAACAGUUAGAUACCCUGGUAGUCCACGCCGUAAACGAUGAGUGCUAAGUGUUAGGAGUCAGUGGGAAACCAGUAGUUUCCGCCCCUUAGUGCUGA